rnacentral:rRNA from 1 species
GACGAACGCUGGCGGCGCGCUUAACACAUGCAAGUCGAACGGAAAGGCCUGCUUUCCCUUGUGGAUUGCGGGUACUCGAGUGGCGAACGGGUGAGUAACACGUGAGUGAUCUGCCCCCAACUUGGGCAUAAGCCUGGGAAACUGGGUCUAAUUCCCGAUAGGACUGCAGGGUGGUGCCUGUGGUGGAAAACGAUUUUCUAGUGGUUGGGGAUGAGCUCGCGGCCUAUCAGCUUGUUGGUGGGGUAAUGGCCUACCAAGGCGGCGACGGGUAGCCGGCCUGAGAGGGUGGACGGCCACAUUGGGACUGAGAUACGGCCCAGACUCCUACGGGAGGCAGCAGUGGGGAAUAUUGCACAAUGGGCGGAAGCCUGAUGCAGCGACGCCGCGUGGGGGAUGACGGCCUUCGGGUUGUAAACUCCUUUCGACCGCGAGGAAGCCACCUGGUUGGAAGGGUGGUGACGGUAGUGGUAAAAGAAGCACCGGCUAACUACGUG